ensembl:lncRNA
AAUGAGGGAGGAGGCCCGAGGAUGGCUGGGUUUGAUUUAUGACUGGAGGAGAAGGUCCACUUCCCACUGCGAAGCGGGCAACCUGCUCGCCGCCCAGCUCCAGGGAGAGGAACCCGCGGAAGAGAGGAUCCCGGCCAGAGACAGAGUCUCACCAUGUUGCCCAGGCUGGCCUUAAGUGAUCCUCCUGGACUCCUGGACUUAAGUGAUCCUCCUGCCUCUGCCUCCCAAAGUGCUGGGAUUACAGGUGUGAGCCACUGCACCUGGCUAGUCAUUCUUAAUAUCAGCUUUUGAUGGAAGAGGAGAGAUGAAGAAAGGUUCAGAAAGGAGCCUCCAAACCUCAGCGACAGGCUCUGCUGCAUUCACAGUUCUGUCGAGAACCUGCAGCUUCUCCAUUUUACCCCAGCAGCCUUGUGUUAUGUAGCCGGGUGAAACCUCUGGAAGACAGGAAAACCUUUGGCCUCAUCAAGUCCACUUUGAUGCCUCUGCUGGACUAAUCCCAAUGGAGAAAAUUUGGGUAUUUCUGGAAAUAACCCAUGUGACAAUCAUCUCCAGAACCCAUGGAAACCUACAGGAACUUCAGUACCUUGGACAGGAUCUUCUUUACACCCAAAGAUGGCUUCUUGAACAAUAAGGCCCAAAAGCUGCUGGAAUGGGGACGUGGUGCUGAGAUAGCUUUGACCAUAUGGCCUAGGGAGGCACUAUAGAAGAUGGUGAAACAAUCAGAAAGAAGAAACCUGAUCCUUGGAACAUGUUGAAGGCAAAGCUACCUCCCUGGAGCAUUGACUGGCCUGGAAUUCUGCAGCAGAGACACAAGGCUUUCUAUUGUUUAAAGACAUGGCUAUUUAAGUCUCUAUUAAAGCUAAAAGAUGAAUAUCAGAACUAAUCAUCAAAUUUCUCCAUGCCUCCCAAGUCUAGGAGUACAAAAUAAUUUCAUUGUGAAUAAUGCCUAAAUGACGUUUGCCUCCACUUGCUACUAUAGGACUGUGACCAACAAUAUCUUCGAGAUUUCCCAGAAGCAUCACAUAUGUAUACAAACAAGACGGAUCAGCUCACCUGUCAGUGACCACAUGCUAUCUCUCUAUCUGCUAUUUGUUACUGACCCUCCUGCUCCCAACUCCUUCCACUGGGUACUGCUCCCUCCCCAUAGGCAUUCUAACUCAGUUGAGGCACAGACCAGAGUUACAGAGUUCUGUUCAAGAUAGGAGAGAAAGCUCCUAUCCCUCUUUUGUGUUAAAUCCUACUAGGGGUCCCCACAGCAGGGCUGCUUGAGCCUAAUACAUGCCAGAAUGCUUCCUGGCAUGCAUUAGGGCUCAAGAGUUACUUCUAGCCCUGCUCUUCUCCUGGGUUCUAAGGCAUGUAUUCGAUGGGGCACAGAAGGCAAAACCAGUCAAGAGAUAUUUCAUGCUUUAUAAUGCAUCUUUUUUUCUGAUAACCAAGGCUUUGCCUCUGGGUCCAACUUGUCUAUUUCAUUCCUUCUUCCCUGCAAUGCAUUCUCUCCUAGGAAGUCACUCAUUUCUUUUGCAAAGAAGUCUUUGGGAGAAUCCAGCCUACCAGUUGGCCAGGAAUCCCCAAAAAUGAGUUGCAGAAGCAAUGAGAAACACUAAAAACAGAGAAUUUUCAUAGUAGAAGGAAGAGUGAGCAGACAUCAAGGAGGGUUCGUGUGUUUGAAAAGGAUGUUCCCUUGAAUAUCAGUCCCAGGUAAUAUUCAAGAAAAAAGGGGCCAGAUAUGGUGGCUCACACCUGUAAUCCCAGUACUUUGGGAGGCCAAGGUGGGAAGAUUGCUUGAGCACAGGAGUUUGAGACCAGCCUGGGCAACAUAGCGAGACCCUGUCUCUAUAAAAUAAAAAAUAAAAGAAUUAGGUGGGCAGGAUAACAUGUGCCUGUAGUCUCAGCUAAUAGGGAGGUUCAGGUGGGAGGAUCAAUUGAGCCUGGGAGGUUGAGGCUGCAGUGAGCUGCGAUCGUGCCACUGCACUGCAUCCUGGGUAACAGAGCGAGACCCUGUCUCAAAAACAAACAAAAACAAAAAGAAAAAA